rnacentral:lncRNA from 1 species
AUGGAUAAUGCCUACUUGAAGAAAGUCAUGGCCGUCUUGUGGGAAACGGUCACAAGCCUGAAAGCGGAAAACGACAACCUUCGGAGCCGGCUGAUCGUAUUUGUCGAGAAGGAGAUUGCGGCCAAAUUGCCAAAAAUGGAAGAGAAGAAGGAAUACGUUGAAAGAGUUGCUCUGAACCUCAAGGAGGAAGCGGACCGGUUGAAAGCCCUGACGGAGGAACGGAUCCCACGGCUCUUGCCGGUCAAUGCGUCUCGCGUCCGGAGGCUCCAAGAAGCCUAUGAACAAACCACCAGCAGGGUCUGCAGCCUCUUGGAUGAAGUGAAGUACUACUUCCCCGUCUGGUUGAAGGACAGCGGCGACUACUACCUGAACAUCUCCACUUGCUCCGCCGACUUGCUGCAGGAGAACGUCCAACAACUGAGGCUGCUAAUGGAGACCCAGACCCUGGAGAAGGCGGACGAAUGGUGCCAGAAGUUCAGGCUCAGCCGGAUCCCCGCUCUGAGGGCCAAGCUGGACGAAUUCUUGGAGAACAUUUUGCAGGAUGCGUCCCGCCUGGAGCAAGAGCUUCACGAUAUCGAAGCCAAGGUGCAGGAGAUGGAAAGUGGUCGGCGUGAACAGAGGCAAUACGUGGCCAAGUGCAGCGCCGUCUUCUGCCUGCCGGACUUCGCAAAGGGCAUUCGGCGCGACACCAAGAACCUGCAGGCUUUGUUGGGAGUCCUGAAAUCCAAGUCUCAAGCACUCACCAAGGUGCGAUCGGAGGUGGUCACCAAACACGCCUGCGUCUGCUGGGAGGCCGAGGCGGUCAUUGUGUCCUGCAGGAAGAAGUCCCUUCCGGAGCAUCAAGAGGCCGAGGAGCUGCUGGACGAGGCGGGAGCAGCAGACGCCCGAGAGCUUGAAGAAGCCCAAAGGCUGGAGCACAACUUGAGCUCAGUGGAGCAAGAUAUGACGGCCCAGUUAGAUGCAGCAGCCGAACUGGAAAAAGAAGAAAUGGAAAAGCUCCCAGCUCAGGAUGCCAACAGCAGUGAAUCCUAA